AUGAUUACGUUUUCCCCAAAUCCUCCCCCCUAAACCAAAAAACACACACUUACAAGUACAACCCCGCCUCCCUUUUCUCUUUUUGACAUCUCAGAUCAUCACCAUCAUCUACUGUUGCCGACAUCUUCAUUAUCUUUGGCCAGGAUAUUUGGAAGUUGGUCAAGGAUCGAUAUAUCAUCAGAAAGCCAACCAACUCUCGAUCAUGUGCUCGCCGCAUAAAUGAGGCUAAGAGAAUUAGAGAAAGGGGCAUCACUCUUAAUACGGAGACAAAAUAUACCUGGUAGGUAUAUUUUUUGCAACCCCUGUUUCCAUUUGAUUUAGGAUAUGGGUUUUAGACAUGCUCUUCGAUAAAGAGUGGUUCGCGCGGGAGAAUAUGACUCGAAUGUCGUUGACCACAGAUGUCAGGACAUAAUUAAGGGACAUCAAGCUCAAAUCAAUCUUGCUGAAAGAUUUUGACCUUAGGCAAGAGAGAUCUCUAGGAGAUUAUUGAGAAGGAAGUAGUGAAUAGCAAGAACCAGAAGGUAGUCAAUGGUUGUAUCGCUUAGGUUGUCGAGAAAAAAAGGUUGAGACAAAUACACUGGCUAUAAAGAUGUAUGUAAAGCUUCAGUGUUUUCUCUAUAGAAGUGUAUUACGUUUCUUUUACAAGGAGGAUCGUGAAUUAUGAAAGUCUUUUGUAAGUUUUGCUUCUUUAUUUUUCUGUUAUGUUAAGUUAAUUUAGGUAUUAUGUAAAUGAUUGUGGAAGUUAUCUCUUUAUUCCCCUCUUUUUAGGAAAAAGAGGGUCAUAUUGGAAGUAUUGUGGGAAACGUCAAAGGUCUCUGUAUUUGAAAGAGGUUGCAUCCUUAAUCUGGUCAUUUUGGAGUUCUACUUUCUGAUCUAUAUCUCUCACAAUUCUGCAGUCAUUGAUGUAUGUUGUUGAUUGGAGACAAGUGAAUCAAGUUAGUAAGGAGUGCAAGCAAUUAAAAUGGCAGUCUCAAAAAUUAUCCCUUCUACAAGUCACACUAGCCGCUGCAAGACAAGAUGAUGUUGUGGAUGUCAUUUGUCGUGUUGUUAACAAAUAUCAAAGUUCCAUUCGUUUUCAAUGUUCUAUGACAUAGAGAUCUAUCAUUCAAUAUUUAGUGAAAUACUUUUUUUUGUUCUUUCA